rnacentral:rRNA from 1 species
AGUGAACGCUGGCGGUAGGCCUAACACAUGCAAGUCGAACGGCAGCACAGUAAGAGCUUGCUCUUACGGGUGGCGAGUGGCGGACGGGUGAGGAAUACAUCGGAAUCUACUUUUUCGUGGGGGAUAACGUAGGGAAACUUACGCUAAUACCGCAUACGACCUACGGGUGAAAGCAGGGGAUCUUCGGACCUUGCGCGAUUGAAUGAGCCGAUGUCGGAUUAGCUAGUUGGCGGGGUAAAGGCCCACCAAGGCGACGAUCCGUAGCUGGUCUGAGAGGAUGAUCAGCCACACUGGAAAUGAGACACGGUCCAGACUCCUAAGGGAGGGAGCAGUGGGGAAUAUUGGACAAUGGGCGCAAGCCUGAUCCAGCCAUACAGCGUGGGUGAAGAAGGCCUUCGGGUUGUAAAGCCCUUUUGUUGGGAAAGAAAAGCAGCAGGUUAAUACCCCGCUGUUCUGGCGGUACCCAAAGAAUAAGCACCGGCUAACUUCGUG